rnacentral:rRNA from 1 species
CCUACGGGGGGCAGCAGUGAGGAAUAUUGGUCAAUGGGCGCGAGCCUGAACCAGCCAAGUCGCGUGAAGGAUGACUGCCCUACGGGUUGUAAACUUCUUUUAUAAGGGAAUAAAGUGAGGCACGUGUGCCUUUUUGUAUGUACUUUAUGAAUAAGCAUCGGCUAACUCCGUGCCAGCAGCCGCGGUAAUACGGAGGAUCCGAGCGUUAUCCGGAUUUAUUGGGUUUAAAGGGAGCGUAGGUGGGUUGUUAAGUCAGUUGUGAAAGUUUGCGGCUCAACCGUAAAAUUGCCGUUGAUACUGGAAGUCUUGAGUACAGUUGAGGUAGGCGGAAUGCGUGGUGUAGCGGUGAAAUGCAUAGAUAUCACGAAGAACUCCGAUUGCGAAGGCAGCUUACUAAACUGCCACUGACAUUGAUGCUCGAAAGUGUGGGUAUCAAACAGGAUUAGAUACCCUUGUAGUC